rnacentral:rRNA from 1 species
AGAGUUUGAUCCUGGCUCAGAUUGAACGCUGGCGGAAUGCUUUACACAUGCAAGUCGAGCGGCAGCGCGGGGCAACCUGGCGGCGAGCGGCGAACGGGUGAGUAAUGUAUCGGAACGUACCUAGUCGUGGGGGAUAACGCACCGAAAGGUGUGCUAAUACCGCAUACGUCCUGAGGGAGAAAGCGGGGGAUCGCAAGACCUCGCGCGAUUAGAGCGGCCGAUAUCUGAUUAGCUAGUUGGUAGGGUAAAGGCCUACCAAGGCGACGAUCAGUAGCUGGUCUGAGAGGACGACCAGCCACACUGGAACUGAGACACGGUCCAGACUCCUACGGGAGGCAGCAGUGGGGAAUUUUGGACAAUGGGGGAAACCCUGAUCCAGCCAUUCCGCGUGAGUGAAGAAGGCCUUCGGGUUGUAAAGCUCUUUCAGCAGGAACGAAACGGUGCUGGUUAAUACCUGGCAUCACUGACGGUACCUGAAGAAGAAGCACCGGCUAACUACGUGCCAGCAGCCGCGGUAAUAC